rnacentral:tRNA from 1 species
GGUUCUAUAGUGUAGUGGUUAUCACUCGAGAUUCUGAUUCGCGGAAUUCUCGAAACCCAGGUUCGAGCCCUGGUAGGACCU